rnacentral:rRNA from 1 species
CCUACGGGUGGCUGCAGUGGGGAAUAUUGGACAAUGGGGGGAACCCUGAUCCAGCCAUGCCGCGUGUGUGAAGAAGGCCCUCGGGUUGUAAAGCACUUUCAGUGAGGAAGAACGCCUGGUGGUUAAUACCCAUCAGGAAAGACAUCACUCACAGAAGAAGCACCGGCUAACUCCGUGCCAGCAGCCGCGGUAAUACGGAGGGUGCGAGCGUUAAUCGGAAUUACUGGGCGUAAAGCGCGCGUAGGUGGCUUGAUAAGCCGGUUGUGAAAGCCCCGGGCUCAACCUGGGAACGGCAUCCGGAACUGUCAAGCUAGAGUGCAGGAGAGGAAGGUAGAAUUCCCUGUGUAGCGGUGAAAUGCGUAGAGAUCGGGAGGAAUACCAGUGGCGAAGGCGGCCUUCUGGACUGACACUGACACUGAGGUGCGAAAGCGUGGGUAGCAAACAGGAUUAGAUACCCUAGUAGUC